rnacentral:rRNA from 1 species
UACGUAGGCAGCGAGCGUUGUUCGGAGUUACUGGGCGUAAAGCGUGCGUAGGCGGUGGUCCAAGUCUGGUGUGAAAUCUCCCGGCUCAACUGGGAGGGUGCGCCGGAAACUGGGCCGCUGGAGUACGGGAGAGGCAAGCGGAAUUCCUGGUGUAGCGGUGAAAUGCGCAGAUAUCAGGAAGAACACCCGUGGCGAAGGCGGUUCUCUGGGACGGUACUGACGCUGAGACGCGAAAGCGUGGGGAGCGAACAGG